AUGGAGGGUCACCAAGAUGCGAUCAACAUGACGCAGGCACUGGAGGCCUUGUCCCCCUAUCUGGAGAAUCCCCGGCGGAUAGUCAUCCGAAACGAAGCUUUUGUGGUUGUGGCAGCCGCAAUGCUGUUCCUGCAACUCAUGCUUGGUCCUUGGCGUCGGUGGUCGGGCCAUUGGUUCGUCCAAGGUACUCUCUGGCUAGCUUACACGCUCAGCUUCCCUGUGAUCACCUAUACCCUUGGUCAGAUGGUGACCUCGCCCGUGAAGAAUGUGCUGUAUCCUGUUUGGGCCCUGAUUCUCUUCUGGGCAACCGGGUCGGCCAACACCUCCGUGGCUUAUAAUAUCGAAGACAACAGGCGGUGGAAGCAGUACCUCUUUCAGCUCCUUCAGUAUGUCGUGUAUGUCGCUGUUAUAUGGGCGCUGAUUGUUGGUGCCCCAACAGCUUUAGUCAUUCCCCCUUUUUUGCUAAUAUGCCCGGUUCUUUUGGCCAACAUGCAUAGAGCACUUGCUGGUUGGAUGGCCACGGAUUCUACUCCCAGCAAAUUAGUAGCAGACUACAUUAGGGCGCAGGUUCAGGUUAAUGCAAGAUCUAGAGCUGCUCAGGAGGAGAAUUUCACAAUGAAUAGCUGCAAAUAUCGUAAGGAUGGUGCCAUCACCAUUGAGGCAAUCUGGGGGAUGACAUUUGAUGAUGACAGCCUGCUCAAUAGGUAG
rnacentral:rRNA from 1 species